CACAGCGGCCUUGGGUUUGGGCUCCAGCCCCAGCCGGGCCCCCUCGCGCCGCUGCGGCUGCUGCGCGGUGAGGUCGUGACAAGUCACAGCUAACUUGCCCUCCGCGCCAUUCCACGCCACCAGGAAGCGCAGCCGGUGCCUCUCGGCAUCGGCGAAGAGGCCUUGCCGGACCGGCGCCCAGCCCUCCAGGCUGUCGAGCUGCUCGUCCUCCAUGGCCGUCGGCGGCAGCGGCCCUAGGACUCGGCGGGCGCGGGCCUGACCUCGUCGCACUGCCUGUCAGGGGACAGUCCCAGGCUGGAGUGCAAUGGCAUGAUCUCGGCUCACUGCGACCUCUGCCUCUUGGGUUCAAGCGAUUUUCUUGCCUCAGCCUUCGCAGUAGCUGGGAUUACAGGCAUAACUGAAGGUGAAAGGACAGAAUCACCGUGUGUUACUGGCACAGAUGCAUCGGCUAGUGAAGAAAGAAGACAUUCAAACUAGUCCCGCUCUGUCGCCCAGUCUGGAGUGCAGCAGCGCCAUCAUAGCUCACUGCCACCUAGAAGCCGGGGUGAAGCAAUCCUCCUCCAUCAGCCUUCAGAGUAGCUGGGACUACCUGCGCGGCCCACCACAGCCGGCUAAUCUUUGUGGUUUUUCUUUUGUUUUCCGUUCUGGGUUUCCGUCGGGCGCAGUGGCUCAGGCCUGCAAUCCCAGCACUUUGGAAGGCAGAGGUGGGCGGAUCACCCGAGGUCGGAGACCAGCCUGACCAACAUGAAGAAAUCCCGUCUCUACUAAAAAAAAGAAAAAAACUACAAAAUUAGCCGGAUAUGGUGGCUCAUGCCUGUAAUCCCAGCUACUAGGGAGGCCCAGGCAGGAGAAUCACCUAAAUCCGGGAGGCCGAGGUUGCGGUGGGCAAAGAUCACACCAUUGCACUCCAGCCUGGACAACAAGGGUGAAACUCCGUCUCAAAACAGAGACCGGGUUUCACCAUGUUGCCCAGGCGGUCUGGAACUCCUAGGCUCAAGCGAUCUGCCACACUCGGCCUUCCAAAGUCCUGGGAUCACAAGGGGGAGGCACCACGCCAGGCAGAUCUAUUCCUUUCUGGUUACUAAAUUGGACCGGGGGCGCGGUGGCUCACGCCUGCAAUCCCAGCACCCAGGGAGGCGGAGGCGGGCGUAUCACUCGAGGUCAGGAGCUCGAGAUCAGCCUGACCAACACGGAGAAACCCCGUCUGUACCAAAAAAAUAAAACCAAAAUUAGCUGGCAUGGUGGCUCAUGCCUGCAAUCCCAGACACUCAGGAGGCUGAGGCAGGAGAACCACCUAAACCCGGGAGGUGGAGGCCGCGGUGAGUCGAGACCACGCCACUGCACUCCAGCCUGCAAAACGAGCGAAACUCCACUCAAAAAAAAAAAAAAAAAAGACAGUGUUUCACCACGUUGCCCAGGCCGGUCUGGAAGUCCUAGGCUCAAUCGAUCGCCGCGCUCGGCCGUCCACAGUACUGGGAUCACAAGCAUGAGCUACCACGCCAGGCCGAUCUAUUCCUUUCUGGUUACUAAAUUGGACCGGGGGCACGGUGGCUCACGCCUGCAAUCCCAGCACCCAGGGAGGCGGAGGCGGGUGGAUCACCCGAGGUCAGGAGCUUGAGAUCAGCCCGACCAACACGGAGAAACCCCGUCUGUACAAAAAAAAAACACCAAAAUUAGCUGGCAUGGUGGCUCAUGCCUGCAAUCCCAGCCACUCAGGAGGCUUAGGCAGGAGAACCACCUAACCGGGAGGUGGAGGCCGCGGUGAGUCGAGACCGGAAAACACUCUAGCCUGGAAAACGAGCGAAACUCCACUCAAAAAAAAAAAAAAAAAAAAAAAAAAAAGACCGUGUUUCACCAUGUCGUCCAGGCUGGUCUGGAACUCCUAGAACAUGUAGAUGUUACCUCAUUUGGAAAAAGCAGAUUUUCAGGUAUGAUUAAGUUAAGGAUCUUGAAGAGAGAUUAUCCUGGAUUGUCUCCGUGGGCAUUAAAUCCUGGCACAUAUAUCCUUAUAAGAGGGAGAUAAAGGAGAUUUAACUUCAGACAGAAGAGAAGGAGGCCCUGUGACCAAGAAGGCAGAGCCUGGAGUGGUGGAGCUGCAAGCCAAUGAAUGCCAGCAGCCAUCAGAAGCUGCGCAAGUCAAAGGAUGGAUUUUCCCCUCAGCCUCUGAGAGCACUGGCUCUGCUGAGACCUAGAUUUCAGCCCAGUGAUACUGAUUUUGGACUUCUGAUAUCCAAAACUGUGAGAAAAUAAAUUUCUGUUGUUUUAAGUCACCACAUUUUUGGUAAUUUGCUCUAACAGCCACAGGAAAGUAACAUACAUGCCUACCUGGGUCCAGUUGUGUCCUGUGACUCCUGCUUU
rnacentral:lncRNA from 1 species